UUGCGGUGGUGGCAAAACCCCGAAGGCGGCCAUUUUGUAUUUAACGAUUUAUGGCCGGGAAAAUUAUUAUCUUGUUUACUUCCGACUACCGCGGCGGAGACCAACGUUGGCCAUUAAACAUGUUGGCACGUAAUACCUUUUGGUCUUUGAUUGCAUUCAACCGUAUCAGCCGCCGAUUUUAUUGCGAAUCUGCAGUGGGCUCGCACACUAUAUUAUUUAGUGUCAAGACUUUUGAAAUAUGUAAGUAUACGUAAUAUCGCGUAUGCCUAUUACAUGUAUUUUCUGCAGUACAGCUUGAUUCUUUAAUAAUUUUGUGCCGAGCAUCAAGAUUUUCGUGGAAGAAAUUGGAAUGUAUCGAUACGCAUCGGAUCAGUUUUUACAGUUCAAGAAGUUAAACAUCGUACAGUAUACCAGCGAUACUUGCAAUAAAUCUAAUUUUUCUGAAACAUCACUACACAUAUGAAUGUUGCGGUCAGCUGCAUACAAAUAACAUCAAGAAUAUUUACAAUCAGAUGUAUAUGUAAAGUUUACACCAAGAUUUAUGUAAACAAGUGGUUCUCAGCCGGUGUGUGGCGUGUUAGUACAGUAAUGUGUGUAUGCUACCAAAAAAAUCGUUUAUUCAUAUUGUAAAUCAUGUUCAAAAAAUAAAUAUGACAUUCUGAUGGUAAAAAUCAUGGAUAAGAAAAGCAAAUUGUGAAGAUAGUUUCAUUCUCAAUUUACACAUAGGUUUAUAGGUUUAUAAUUGUUACUUUUUAAAAAAUCCAUUUAAUUGUUUUAACUUGUCGUCAUUUUAAUAAAUCUAAAUUAGGGUAUCGCCGUAAAAAAAAUUGAGAAACACUAAUGUAAGCUAUGGUCCACAUUCAAUCAUAGCAUUAUAAUUGCGUGUAUCGAUAACAUUAUAGGUAUAUGUACGUCAGUGUUUGGCAAAAAAAAACUCUUUGAUAAGCCGCGAUGAUUAAUGUUUACAACUUACAAGGUAUAUCUAC